AUUGAACGCUGGCGGAAUGCUUUACACAUGCAAGUCGAACGGUAGAGGGGGCAACCCCUCGAGAGUGGCGAACGGGUGAGUAAUAUAUCGGAACGUGCCCAGUCGUGGGGGAUAACGUAGCGAAAGUUACGCUAAUACCGCAUACGAUCUAAGGAUGGAAGCGGGGGAUCGCAAGACCUCGCGCGAUUGGAGCGGCCGAUAUCAGAUUAGGUAGUUGGUGGGGUAAAGGCUCACCAAGCCAACGAUCUGUAGCUGGUCUGAGAGGACGACCAGCCACACUGGAACUGUGACACGGUCCAGACUCCUACGGGAGGAAGCAGUGGGGAAUUUUGGACAAUGGACGCAAGUCUGAUCCAGCCAUUCCGCGUGCAGGAUGAAGGCCCUCGGGUUGUAAACUGCUUUUGUACGGAACGAAAAGGUCUCUCUUAAUACGGGGGACUCAUGACGGUACCGUAAGAAUAAGCACCGGCUAACUACGUGCCAGCAGCCGCCGUAA
rnacentral:rRNA from 1 species